AAGAGAGAAUCCCAAGCAGGUUCUGUGCUGUCAGUGCAGAGCCCGAUGUAGGGCUCUAACUCCAGAACCAUGAGAUCAAGACCUGAGCCAAAAUCAAGAGCUGGAUACUUAACCAACUGAGGCACCCAGGUGCCCCAGGAUACAUGUGUUUCUGAUGAUCACUUAAUUCUAACAGAUGCUAAAUUACAUUAUAAAAUUAAGAGUUGCAUUUUUGACAAACCUGAUAAUUCAGAUAGGUCUUAAAAAUUUUUUUCAAAGAGAUUUUGCCAUUUACCAUGUUUCUGAUCACAUGGAAGAACUAUCCAAGCAUGAGGUCUGUAUCACUUAAAUAGCUGUGAACAGAAUUUUGAUAUUUUACUUCAUUAACUUGCUAAUAUUACUUGCUGACAAUACAUAUCCCAAAAUGCCAAGUGUGGCCUGAGCUCUUUCUCUUCUAUUCUGUAGUACCUUAACCAAAAUUUAAUUUUUUUAAAAAAACUUAAGAGUAACAAAAAUGAAACGUUACCUUUUUAACACCAAUCUGGACAGCUCUUUCUAUUACAUCUUGUAAGUCGUCUAUAAAAGGAAAAACCCCACAUUAAGAAAAGCUAGUAAAAUUUUUUUUCACUUAAUUAUCUCUUCUUGAAAGAAAAACACAUAGAAACAAUCAUAUUUACCAAAUCAAUACCAUUUGAUGAGUACUUAUGAUAACAAUCAGAGAUAACCUUAAAAAAAACAAAAAAAGGAAACCUAUAUCAGUCAAACUAGGUGACUAGUUAUCCAUUUAAUUGUAUUUUAUUCUGUUGACCAAAAGGGAGAAAAGUAACAAAAAUCAGGAAGUUCAAAUGAAAGGUGAAUUUGCUCACUACAACUUAAAUCAGUUGCCUUAAAAUUGAAACUUGUUGGUAUUGUAUUUUUUUUAAUAAAAAUAAAAGUCAUUAAGAUUGCUUAUUUUUACUAGGGUUUUUCAGAGUGUAUCUGUAAUGCUUCCCAAAACAUGAUAAAACUUCUCUUUGUAAAUUUCAGUUAAUACCGUAUUAUUAUAAUUCCAUUCCCAUUGAGGAAGGAUAAUUUUUAUUUUCACUGACAGUUUUUUUCUUUUUCCCAAAAUUUCUUGUUAAGUAACAAUAAGCUUUCUGGGGAGAUCAAUUGAAGGCUAAGCUUUAAGAGGCCUGAGGUAAAUGGACAGCAAUAUUAAAAAAUGACAUAAAUCCAUGUAUUAAUUUCAGAUUUAAGUAUCACAGUAAAUUUGGUUAGAAUUAUCAUUACUUCUAGAAGCUAUAAAAUUUCUUUUAGACAAAAAAUAUCAACUUAGUGAACUUACACUAAGACAUCCAGUUUUGCUAAAUAUUGUAAACCAGAGGGAUACUGAUAAGAAUAAAACUUAUUUCAUAAAAACACACAAACAUACAUACACAUAGAGUCAUAAAGCAUGAAAUCCAUUAAGUGCUACAAAGGCAAGAAAAUCAAUAUAAUUACAUACUCUAAGAUGUAGUACCUAACAUUUGAUAAACAUAAAAACAUUAUCUAAACUUCUAAAUGAAGUAGAAAAGGUAUGUUUUGAGGUAAGGCUUAUGAAAGCUAAUGUUUAACUUUCUUGUAGGUGACAUCUAACGUUCUCUGUAUUCAGAGCAGCUUUCGCUCAUUACCACCUAGAAGCAUAGUAAAAUUAUCUUGACGUAAUUGCUGAAAUGUGCACUUGCACUUCACCCAGGCCUCAAAACCAAAUUUUCCUGUUUGCAUUCACAUAAUAACAAGUACGGUAAUUUUCUGAGACAAUAUUCACAAACCAGCUUAUUGGAGAAAUUCUUUCAAAAACUUGUUGUUGCCAUCAUUUCCUGCUUACUCACCUCAGCUGACAAAAUAUGCUUUUUAAAUGAACUUGAUAUGAUAAAUAUAAGCCAUUUUGCUUUUGGCUAAGCUUUCCAUCAACCUUUGAGAGACUCCUGUCUAUUUCCACCUAUCCCACAGGUAUCUGGGAUUUAGUAAGACUUGGAUGGAAAGGGGGGAAAGGUAAGACAGGGAGGGUGGACAGCAGCAUGCCUACUCCUUAAUCCCAUUACCUCUUUGUCACUUAGUGGAAAAUGUUUUCAAAGGACUAGAUACUGAUGUUCAACUGCAGGUGAUUUUUUAAAUUAUGUGCCCUACUGUUCAGAUGCUUAAAAGACCAAUUAAGCAAUCAGCGAUUGUUUGGCUUUUAUGCAUAUCGUUAAAGUUCUUUAUUCAAAAUCAUAAGGUUCCUCAGAGAAGACCUUGGUAACACUCUGUUAUAAUAGGUGCUUUAUAAAUGCUCAUGGCCGUGGCUUGCCAAUAUAGCUUAUAAAUGUUUCACUUUGUUUAUAGUUUUAUCCAAGUUGCAUAAUAAAUCCUUUAAUGUUUCAGCUGUAAAGUGGAUUAUGCUUUCCAUCAUCUCCCUGAGGCAGAAAGCUUGUCUUUAUUUUAUCUUAACAACAGAAACAUUUACCUUGAUGCUUCUGAACUCCCCUAUAAAUUCCUCUGAACAUAGGAUCUGUCAAGUUGAUACCAAUAUCUGUGGAAGGUAAAAGUAAAUAAUUAAGAGCUUCUAUUUUAAACUUCUAUGAUAAAUAAAAGCUGUUACUAAAUUUUUCAUUCAAAGUCUAAGUGCCACCACUUGUCUGUUACUGUGCUAGACACCUGGGAUGCAAAGAGUAAGAUAUAAUUCCAGCCCUCAAGAAACUCCCUGCAGAAUUGGGAAGGCAGACGCAUUACAGACAAUUAAGAAAUAUUAUAAGUAGACACUGGCACUGUGGGACACAGAAGAGGAACAACUACCUUAGUCUGCUUCCUCUGAGGAUAUUCUCACUCUGAUCUCUGCCAACCUGGCCCUUAGUAAGCUGUGCUGCUUCAACAUUAAGGCAGACCUUAGACAAUGAAUGGGAGUUUGGAUAAUCCAAGAGACGAUGUGGAGACUAUCCCAGGUCAGGCUGCCCGCAGAUAUAGACCCUUCCCUCUGCUGCCUUAUCGCUAGUUGCAUUAAACACAGUAGAUGACAAGAGUUUAUUAAUGCCGUACUGUAGUCAGCAUCCAUUAGUGAUCGUGAAAGUCGUCCUACACGAUAACCCUCCUCUCUCGUCUCCCUCACACCAGCCACGAUGGUUUCCAAAGGUAAGUGGAGGUUAAUUUAUUUUUCUUUAUAUUUUGUAUUUUCUUUUUUAUUUUGUACUAUAUUACAAAUCUUCUUCUAAGUGGAACUAAUCUUCUGAGUUUCCAUGAUUUCUUAUAGAGAAAUUUGCUUUGAUAUACAAGUGCUGUGGAUUACAAGCAUGUUUCUGGAAUAAAUUAAGCUCCCAAACCAAGGUUUUACUGUACUUAAAAACUUUAACACCAGCUAUCUCAGAAAAGUCGAAAUGAAGAUCCUACAGGAAAAAGAAUGGAUUCUAAUUACAACCACCUUCUUCAAGAAGUCUUUCCUAGCUUAUCUGGUUAAAAUUCCUUCAUCGAUUUUAUCACCACAGUACUAAAACUACAUAUAUUGUUUUACCCAUCCCUACUUCCAUUGAAUGGUCACUGUACUAAGCCCCUGGGAAACAAAGAAAUAUUACUGAUUAUCUGUCUUAAAGUGUGGUCUAGUGGGAAAGGCAGACACAUAAAUAUUAUAAAAUAAUGUUUUAAAAGGUGUAGUUACAAAGUCUGAAAAAGGAAGCAAAAAUCAACCAGGCAAGAUGGUAGUCAGUAGGAUAUUAGAGAGAGAAGUGACUUUACGGUUCCAAACUGCCACUCUAAAACCUUGUCAGAGGCAAGAAACAGCAUGUCCAAAUGUUUCAAAAAUAAGAGGGAUAAGGCUGGAAAAGUGGACAGGACCAGAACACAAAAAGGUUUUGUAUUCUAUGUCAAGGUACGUCAACUCUCCGGAGGACAGUAACUGAAGGAUUUGAAGCAGAAGAAAAAUGUAGUUGAUUUUUAUACAGACCACACUGGAGACUAUAUGUACAAUGGGUUGAAGGAGACAUGACUGGAGGCAAGGAUUUAGUUUUAUAUCACAAAUAAGUCUUUUCCUUGUGUACUGCUUCAUGGCUCUUGGCCCACCUCCCUCAUCAAUUAUAUCACAGAUUGGAGCGGGGAGGAGGAUAGACAUCACACCUGGAAAAUGUCUGCGACCAUGGAGGGCUGUUCCCCCCAACCCCACCCCAGGCUCUCCUACACCGUUUUUAAAUUUCUUUUGUGGCACUUGACACAUUCUCCCCUGCAGUUGCUUUGAUGGCAUAUAAGUCUUGACUGUACCUAUCUCUUCAGUCUGAAAAUUAACUGUGCCACUAGGUUUUUUCAUAGUUCCACAAAGUUAGCACAAAGUCCUUGGUAAAAAAUACUGCUCAAAAUAACUGAUUGGGGCACCUGGGUGGCUCAGUCGGUUAAGCAAUCGACUCUUGGUUUCGGCUCAGGUCAUCAUCUCCCGGUUUGUGGGUUAUAGCUCCGUGUCGGGAUCUGCACUGACAGUGCGGAGCCUGCUUGGGAUUCUCCCUCCCCCUCUGCUGCACCGGUGCACUCUCAAAACAAAUAAACAUUUUUUUGAAAAGUAGAAUUGACAAAUGUAGUAAAAAUAAAUAACUCUCAGGUCUAAAUUUACAAUCCUGACCUCUCACACUACAUUUCCAAGUGCCCAGUGAACGUCUUCAGCUGGAUGUCCUAUUAAGACUCUCAAACUUAAACCUAAAUCACAUGGAUCUCGAUACAUCUCCUACCCAUUGCCAGACUAAUCAUGCUUCCGCUCAUAUUUAGGUACUUAUCCCAGCCCUGAGUCAUCUCUGACUGUUCACGCCCUCUUACCGCCAUCAACACGCUGCUGCGAAACGCUGCAUACGGACAUCUCUUGUAUUUCUCUCUCCCUUUUCACUGCCCUAGUUCAAGCUUGGAAACGUCUCCCUAGCUCUCUCCCUCCCCCACCAAACCUACAGUAGCUAUCAGGAUUGCCUUAUUAAAAGAGAGAUGUGAUCAUUGCCAUUUUCCCACCUUCAAGUAGCUGGAAAUUCCACGAUGACAAGAAUCAUGCCCAGCUUCACUCACUGCUGUAAUAACGCACAGCCCAAGGUUCCUGGUGCAUAACUGACACCCCAUGAUUUACUUAACCCAUGAAGGUUAAAAGCCUUCAGCGAAGCUCCACUCUAUACACAGUAAAAGUAAAGUCAGCCAGACAUUUGAGUCCCAAGUUACCCUUCCAAUCCUAGCUUUCACAACGUCUCAGGUUUUCCUAGGUGCCUGGUAGUAAAUACUCUUCUCCCUUUGGUUCCUGUCGCAUUCUCCCUCUUGUUCUACCGAUGGUGAACGGAUUAUUGUACUCGUCAAGUAACAGAACUUGUUCUUCUCUCCACUAUUUGUGUCCUCUAGUUUUCUCCACCUGAUGGUCAUCCCAGCAGAUAAGGGCCUUUGUGCCUUGAGUUCCUAGACCGGUGCCUGUCCCACCAGAGGCGCUCAGUAACUGGGAUAUGAACGCAUGAAUUAGUGAACGGGUCCCUUGAAGCUGUCAUCCUCUCCGUCAUGGAGGGGGAAGGGGCGGGAGGUGCGCAUGGGAGGGAGGGGAAUACAGUGAACGGCCUCUCUUUUUGUAGUUUCGCUUCCUCUUAUAACUGAAUAGAACACAUACGUUGA